rnacentral:rRNA from 1 species
GACGAACGCUGGCGGCGUGCCUAAUACAUGCAAGUCGAACGCAGUGGGGACGGGUGAGUAACACGUGGGUAACCUCCCAUCAGAGGGGAUAACACUUGGAAACAGGUGCUAAACCGAUACUGAUGGAUGGACCCGCGGUGCAUUAGCUAGUUGGUGGGGUAACGGCCCACCAAGGCCACGAUGCAUAGCCUGGCUGGAAGGGUGAACGGCCCACACGGGACUGGGAAACGGGCCAGAAUCCUAAGGGAGGGCGCCGUAGGGAAACAUCGGCAAUGGACGAAAGGCUGAACGAACAACGCCGCGGGAGUGAAGAAGGGUUUCGGGUCGGAAAACUCUGUUGAUAGGGAAGCGGUAACUAACCAGAAAGGGACGGCUAACUACGUGCCAGCAGCCGCGGUAAUAC